rnacentral:lncRNA from 1 species
CCCGUGCAGGCCUCCCUCCGGCUGGGGGCGGCAGUAGCAGCGCGGGGCACAGCGCAGGGCUCGGGUGGUGGCAGAGGGCUUUGGCUACCUGAUGCUGCCUUGCGGCUCCACGUCGCUCUCAGCACUUCAUGUUGUUUCUAGAGGCAUUAGCUUACGUCGCCAGCAGUUUAAUUCGAGGAGUGCAGUGCUGGCGGUUAAGUGAAUCUGAUCUCUGACCUGAAAGCAGUAAUCGUUGGCAGCGUUUACUUAACUUAAAGCGUCAUUUGAGGGAUGAGAGAGUAUCAGCCUUUGCUUUGGUCACCAGAGGUGGCUGAGUGCUGUCAGUGGCCUCACUUCGGUGCUGAGUGGUGCAGCUGAGGCUGCUGCCUGCUGCCCGGAGUGGGCUUACAGCGGGUCUCAUUGGGGUACUCGCCUCCUCACAGGCUGCUCAUCAGGCCUCUGAAGUAGUGACAGAUGAGGCGCCUGAGGAGACUUGCUUUUGCUGAUAAGCCACUUUGAUUGGCAAGUGCGUGUCCUAAUUCUGAAGAUAAAUUACUGCUUUUCCCAGAGGGGGACUUGGCUGGUGCUGCACUGUGACCCUGAGUAUGCCCUUUUUGCACAGCAGGGCAGCCCCGGGUGUCUCAGUGGGAGUGCUGUGCCGGGGCUGUAGCACAGGGGCUGACCUUGAGUUCAGCCUGUAGGGAAACCCCUCAGUCAGUGCUGCAGAGCACAGCCCACAAAGGGCUUAGAGGCUGUGUAAUUUGCUGUACCCUGCUGGGAUAUUCCUCUCCCCAGGGGAGGCUGUUAGGAGCAGCCUAAUCCUGCAAUCAGUCAUUCUUCAUUCUGGAACUCUUCUGUUGGUGGAUUACAACAGUAGAAUGCUCUGGAGAAUAAAACCUUUUUUUUCUUCUCUUCCUUGUUCUAGGCAACAAAAGCAGUUAAGAGAUGAGUUGGUUUCUGGCUUCUGGAAUCUUCAGGCUGAGCUCUGUGCUGUUACCUUGCAAGCAGGAAGAUGUCACAUGAAUUCUGACAGAUGUUGAGAACAGUGUGAAAUGUGGAUUUCUAAUGCACCUGGAAAUGCUUUCCUGGCCCUUCCUGCUUCCCAGAAGCACUGCUUGAUUCUAAUAUGCUCGGGGUGAAGUCCUGUGACUUCUAAUGCCAUGCUGAAAGGAAGAAGUCAAGUAAGAUGGAGUUAGAGUUUAGAUGAAAAUGUGAAUAAUGCCUGAAUGAAGUUCAAGUGAGAGUGUGGCUGAGAAGUAGCCCUUCAGAUGCUGUUAGAACUCAGUAUGAAUAUUUAAGUUCAUAGUUAAUAUUCAUAUAGUUAAUAUUGCAAACAAAAUUUGAUUACAGGAUUAAAACACAUAGGAAAACUUGUUUUCUUGUCUAAAUUAGUGUUUAUAAUAAUGCUGGAAGCUGUUCUGCUCACUUUCAAUGCAGUAUUUGUAUAAAUAAAAUCUUGGAUUUGUAAUUCCAA